rnacentral:lncRNA from 1 species
GCCAUGCAUACCGAAACAUGCAGUAUGCUUCCCAUUACGGAGCAUUUCUCUGCCUUGCUGCAUGAAUCAUGGGUAGCCUAAGAGUGCAGGAGAGUGAAGAGAACACCGCUCUGUGAAGAUCUCCCAUGGGACACCUGUUUUAACUUAGUGCAAUCCAUCAUAUAGCCACUACCCGCUGCAGGCCAGACGAGACAGCUGUCCCUCAGGUCCUCUCCUUGUCUGCGCGUCUGCCCUGCUGCAACAGGUGAGAAGAACAUGUAAUGCUAUAUGUAGAACACUGACUUAAACUGCUUGACCUCUGGCAAGGGUGGUCAAAGGUCAACUCACUUGACAUCUCUGCCCACAUCUUACUGAUGAACACACUCGGACCGCGUCUGAUGAGCGCUUCAACGCACAUCUGUGCAUGGCAAGAGGCAUUUUUAAUUUCACUGGAGGAUAAAAAGCCAGCGGCAGAGCUCCAUCCAUUUUGUAUGGUACCUUAAUUUCACACAGCCCACAGAAAAAUUGGCAGUCGAUUUGUUUUUUGAAGAUCCCUCCAUUGAUAGUAAUGCAUGUGAGACAAACAAUAUCAAGUGCAGGCGUAAAAUGACACAUGGAAGUAAUGCAUUUUUAAUUUCACUGGAGGAUAAAAAGCCAGCGGCAGAGCUCCAUCCAUUUUGUAUGGUACCUUAAUUUCACACAGCC